ensembl:snRNA U2 U2 spliceosomal RNA
AUCGCUUCUCGGCCUUUUGGCUAAGAUCACGUGUAGUAUCUUUUCUUAUCAGUUUAAAACUAUGAAAUUAGUCCUUGUAUUUAUUUGGAAGAAUGUAA